CGUGGAUAAGACAUGCAAGUCGAACGGGAUUUAAUCUGUAGCAAUAUAGAUUAGGUCUAGUGGCGAAUGGGUGCGUAACACGUGGGCAAUCUGCCGGAAAGUGGGGGAUAACUCGUCGAAAGGCGAACUAAUACCGCAUGUGGCCAGGUAGGACAUCCUACCGAAGCUAAAGUUGGGGCAACCUAACGCUUUCUGAUGAGCCCGCGGCCUAUCAGCUAGUUGGUGAGGUAACGGCUCACCAAGGCUAUGACGGGUAGCUGGUCUGAGAGGACGACCAGCCACACUGGAAUUGAGACACGGUCCAGACACCUACGGGUGGCAGCAGUCGAGAAUUUUUCUCAAUGGGCGAAAGCCUGAAGGAGCGACGCCGCGUGGAGGAUGAAGGUUUUCGGAUUGUAAACUCCUGUCAUUGGGGAACAAUUCUACGGGGAGUAACUGCCCUGUAGUUGAUAGUACCCGAAGAGGAAGGGACGGCUAACUCUGUGCCAGCAGCCGCGGUAAUACAGAGGUCAAGCGUUGUUCGGAUUCAUUGGGCGUAAAGGGUGCGUAGGCGGCAAGGUAAGUUGGAUGUGAAAUCCGGGGCCUCAACCCC
rnacentral:rRNA from 1 species